GCACUUAAUCAAAUCAAAAGGAGCUGAAGGUUUUAGCCUUUUUUAAGAGGCUUUCAGCCCAGCAGCUAAGGAUCAAUCUCUAAAUGCUGGAGUAAUCGUCUAUAUCCUUUUACUCCUUUUGAUGUUCAAGAGCAAUAUGCUGCUAUGCUGACAGACAUACCAGCAGAUCUGAAAUUGGAGAAAAACAACAAUAUAAGCACAAGCAGUUUAGCAGUUCCUCCUGAGGGCGCAGUCAAUUUUGGUCAAAACCAUUUAUCUAGUGACCCAGACUCCUCUCUGUCUCCUUACAAGUUCUCUCUUACCACUAUAAACAAGGUAAAAAAUGGGAGGGAGAGUUUUAUACAGGUCUCCGAAACAGAGACCUUUUAAUCCUUUUCAGCUUUGAGAUCACAUUGGAAUAAUCUUCUGAAUCACUAAAGGUCCCUCACCAUAGAGCUAAACAAGAUCACAAGGGUGAACCCUGGAAAAAGGUCUAGAGUUGUUGUUACUCUCUGAAAUAGAUUCAGCAAUCUCUUGGGCAAGCUAUUCAGUGAGCAAACCAGAUGGGAUUGCAUCCAGAAUCUGACAUUUCAUUCGGUGACAGCAGAUUAUGUUUCCGGGCGGGUACCUGUCUGUUCAGCAAAGCUGCAGUUUUGAACGGGGGGAAGCAAUCCUGAAAAACAUAGCCCCAGGAAUGAUGCCUUGGAGACCUUCAGAUCAGAACACAGCGAGGUGGGAGAAGGAUAAAAAGAGCUCCUUUCAUUGCCGUGUGGAGAAUGGGGAGAGAGAAGGAGGCAAAGAAACUAAGAGAUACGGUAGAUAGCUGGUGGGAAAGUUUUCCUGAAAUGUCAGCCUGUAACGUACCUCGACACCGUGUCAUGAGAGGGCUCGAGGCACAAUGUUGGCUGCCAGUUCUUUCCUACAGAACAAUUUGUUUGACAUGGAGAACACAAACAAACUUCUCACAGACUUUCCCACCUUCCCUGGCACUUCAAACAAUACGAGCUUUUCAUGCUGUUUACUCAGAAAAAUGUAGCCGAGAUCCAGCAGGUGGUUUUCCACAGCUUCACACAGGAGAGGAGUCGCAGCGCUGAGAACUAAAAGCGGGAUGAUCUUCUUCUGAGGCAGCAGAGCGACGUGUCUUCUGACUGAAGGAGACACAGUGAUGGUCAGCAGUCCUGAUCCAAAGUAGCUCACACACACUUCUCCACACUUGGUACUUUUUAGUACAAAAUUCAGCAGGUUUGGAUAAUUUCCUUUGCUCCCCUCUUCGGCCUCGCCCUUUCCAUCUAAGGCCACAAUUUUCAGGCCAUUAGCUUGAAAGACUCUAUAGUAGACCUAACAUUUACAGCAUCCCUUGUGGUAUAUCUAGACAAGACAGCCCUCCCUUCAGAAUCUGUAAUCUCUCACUUCAGACCUUAUAUUUGAAGCCCUUGAUUCACUGUGGUUAAAAAAAAAAAAAAAAAAAAAACAUUGAAGCAAAAUGAAUUCUUUGGCAAUAUGGAAACCCACAGGCUUGUGGC
rnacentral:lncRNA from 1 species